AUUCAUGUUAAUGCAGGUUCACAUGUGGUGCCUUGUCUCAUUAGAAUCUGUCUUACAUUCCAGAUUUCAUCCAGAUGGCUUGGUGCUGUUUAUUCACAACAUCCACAGGAAAGCCAUAGAAGAAGUGGUGAAGAUCGCUGGGCUGGACAUCAAUUUUGCCUUGUGGACGACCUUUUGCCCCUAGUAAGGAUCUUCUGGAUAUUUUCGUUCUUCAGGGAAGCUGGUUCCUGAGAUCAAGAUGGCCGCCGACAGCAGCAUCAGAUGCCAGGGAGGCGGUCCACCUAAGAAGGCCUUUUGGAAGUUUUCCCCAAAAAGAUUGCCCUUGAUGGUACCAGCAUGGGUGCAACACACACACACUCACCAAUGUUCCCCAGACCGUUAAUUUAAUUAAUAGUUAUUUAACUGAAUUUGUUUUUUUCCCCAAAUGUUUAAAUCUUAAUCCUUUUACACAUGUUGUGUAUGUUAUAUGUUGUUUUGUAACCAUGUUGUCAGUUAUGUUGUGGGCAUCAGCAAAAGUAGAAAAGGGAAAAUGCCUCUUUCUGAUGAUGAUUGGCAACAUGAAAUUGGCCCUAUAGUGUGUGAUUGUGAGUCUGAAUGGUUGUCUAUCUAUGCGAUGAGUUGACAAGAGCAGCCAGGAUAGCUCCAGGGCCCCAAAUACCUGAGAGGGACACCCAGUACAAAAUGGAUGGAUGGAUGGAUGGAUGGAUGGAAACAAAUUCUAUAGCUACAUCUACGGGAUAUAAGUGGAACAGCAACCACCUACAACUUUGAAGCUUUGACUUUGCUGUUCUUGUGCUAGCUAGACCUAAAAAAAAAAUACAGUAGCACAAUGGUACAGGGGUGGCAGGGUGUCAUGUAAGCUACAUGUACAUUAGGUUGGAUUAGGCCAGGGGUAGGCAACCCAAAAUAUUGAGAGAGCCAUAUCGGACCAAAAAAAAAAAAACCUUUCUAGAGCCUCCAACAAAUAAAAGUCUUGUAUAAGUGUCAUAAUGAAAGCAACACAUGCCUUAAGUGUCUAUAUUAGCCUACUAUCAAAAUGACUAUGUUUUGAUUGAUUGAUUGAUACUUUUAUUAGUAGAUUGCACAGUUCAGUACAUAUUCCGUACAAUUGACCACUAAAUGGUAACACCCGAAUUAGUUUUUCAACUUGUUUAAGUCGGGGUCCACUUUAAUCAAUUACAUGUGAGUUACAGGCUGAAACAAAUCUUUGUUGACAGUAAUAUACAAGUUUUUAUAACAUUGGAAAACAUUAGUAAAACAGGCUUCUCAGAGGGUGAGAUAACUCCUGGCAAAGAAUGGCCAAAUACAUACAUGUGUGUGUCCAAGAUAAAGGAAACUGCAGGCUUCUUCUUCUAAAGGAUUUAUUACAGUAUUUUCAAGUUGGGUAACGUUUGCUGUGGUCUGGAACAACAUGGCACACAAACAACAAUCGGACAUGCCACCUAUAUUACACAUAGAUAAUGUGUCAUAAGACAUGCAAAUAUAAAUUAGAUACACAAAAGAAAUAAGUAAAGGAAAUUCAUGAGCUCUAGUAUACCUACAAACAUGGUGUAAUGAUGCAAGAUAAACAUACAGCUAGUCUAGACAGUACGUUAGCAUCGAUAAGCUUACAAUCAUGCAGUGACCAAAUAUGCCUGAUUAGCACUCCACACAAGUCAAUAACAUCAACAAAGCUCAAUUUUGUGCAUUCGUGCACAGCAUGAAAAGUUUGGUGGACACAAUGAGACAAAGAAGGAGUGGCAUAAAACACGUCUUUCUGUGGCAGUGUCCGAGAAAGUUGUACUUGUAAUCAAACUACAGCGAGUUCAAAGACCGCUGAAUUUAGGACAAAACUGUGCUCGCCAAAUCCUUUCAUCAGUAAAGCAUGGUUAAUACAAACGGUGGUGUAUCUAACAGGUAGGAAGGUUUGGGUCAUGUUUGUCCUUCUAAAGAAACCAUGUUAAAACAAAAAUGUGUAUGCAUUUUUUGAAAAAACUCCAGGGAGGCACUAGAGCCACUGGUUGCUGACCCCCGGGUUAGGCAGAGCUUUAUUAAUCCCCUGGGCGGGUGCCGUCUGAUUGUAUUAAGAUGCAGCAACGCCAUAUGCAAAAUACAUGCAGUGUUAUUAGCAGCACGGCACAUGGAGUAAGCAGGUAAUACACAUAAUGGAAUGAUAAAGUAUGAUUUAAAGAAAAAAGUGAGAUAAAAACUCAUGCUAAUGCAUAAUGUCCCCAUCUUCAUCUUUUUUUCCAUCUCCAGCCUCCCCCCUUGCCCCUCCUUGUUAGGAGUCAUACAGUUUAAUGGCACGGGGAGCAAAGGAGUUUUGAGUCUAUGCUCCUGGGCAGACUUCUGAUAAUGGCCUGCAGGAAGGCGCAUGGCUGGCAUCAUCUGUGAUGGUUAGCUCAGAGCCACUGUGACCAUGAGACAAUCACAAACCGAGUCUUUCCUAUUAGCUUGUCCUGCCAGUAGGAGUCCUUCCGUAGCAUGACUCUUCCCUUACCUGAAGAAACACGUUACUUCUUCUGUUGUUGAGGAGUAUACCUGACCCAUAUUCCGGCACGCAGUGAGAACGCUUGCAUGGCACAAAA